UACGUAGGGUGCGAGCGUUGCCCGGAUUUAUUGGGCGUAAAGGGCGCGUAGGCGGCUCGGCACGUCCGUUGUGAAAUCGCCCGGCUCAACUGGGCGGGGUCAGCGGAUACGGUCGAGCUUGAGCAAGCUAGGGGGGCAAUGGAAUUCCCGGUGUAGUGGUGGAAUGCGUAGAUAUCAGGAGGAACACCGAUGGCGAAGGCAGGUCUCUGGGCCAUUACUGACACUGAGAAGCGAAAGCAUGGGGAGCGAACAGG
rnacentral:rRNA from 1 species